GCCCGGGUGGCGGAAUUGGCAGACGCGACGGACUCAAAAUCCGUUGGGCUUCGGCUCUUGAGGGUUCGAAUCCCUCCCCGGGCA
rnacentral:tRNA from 1 species